GACGAACGCUGGCGGCGUGCUUAACACAUGCAAGUCGAACGGUGAUCCAUCAGCUUGCUGGUGGUGAUCAGUGGCGAACGGGUGAGUAACACGUGAGUAACCUGCCCCUGACUCUGGAAUAACCCCGGGAAACCGGGGCUAAUACCGGAUAUGACAUCAUCCCGCAUGGGUGUGGUGUGGAAAGUUUUUUCGGUUGGGGAUGGGCUCGCGGCCUAUCAGCUUGUUGGUGAGGUAGUGGCUCACCAAGGCGACGACGGGUAGCCGGCCUGAGAGGGCGACCGGCCACACUGGGACUGAGACACGGCCCAGACUCCUACGGGAGGCAGCAGUGGGGAAUAUUGCACAAUGGGCGGAAGCCUGAUGCAGCGACGCCGCGUGAGGGAUGACGGCCUUCGGGUUGUAAACCUCUUUCAGCUCUGAAGAAGCGAAAGUGACGGUAGGAGCAGAAGAAGCACCGGCUAACUACGUGCCAGCCGCCGCCGUAAUAC
rnacentral:rRNA from 1 species